UGCUGUCUCUCUGCGCCUUAAACACAACAGGUCAAGGCCUGCCCUGAGGCCUUGACGCAAUGUCCCCAGGGUCCCCACAUCUGACACAAGUCACUUCUCAGGCAGGCCAGUGUUCCUCGCUCACCCUGUACAGAGCGACACCCGCUCACACUAUGACACGCUAGCAUGUGGACAUGACAUUCACAUACUCUCAAGAGCACACUUCCACAUGACACUCUU
rnacentral:misc_RNA from 1 species